rnacentral:misc_RNA from 1 species
GUGGGAGGGGGCUUGCCCCCGAUGACGGUGGGUCAGCGACAGAUUUGCUGACUGAUGCACCGCUAUCGGGGGCAAGCCCCCUCCCAC